rnacentral:lncRNA from 1 species
GUCACAGCCCGUCCCGGAAUUUUAAUUCCGAGGACAUAAAAAGACGAAAAUGCCCUUAAACGGGACUAAGGGGCGAAAAUUUAACAAUUUGGAUUGAGUUGGACACGUGAGAUCCCCACACCCCUCAAUCCUCUCCCUAUUUUCUGCAUACUGUCUCUCUCUCUCCUCCCUCACGAAUCUCUCUCUCUCUGUCACUCUUCUUCUCCGUUCGAACAAACCAACCACAAAACAACCUUAAACUUCCACCAACGACGGAGUUAAGACCACCAUCGAACUCCUGGAGACUCCACGAUCACGUAGACACCAAUUUCAGGUAAGUUUUACUUCGGAAAACCUAGAUUCUAAACUCCCGUGAAAGUGCACUGUUCAUGAUCUUCGAAUUGACUUUGUUUUAGGACAAUCCAAGCUCAUAGUGAGCUUUAGGAUGUCCCAAGGAAGCUCGGAGUGCUUCGUUGGAAGUUUUUGGACGUAAGAACACGGAGAUCGACAAGUUCAAAGUUUGGCCGGAGCUUUCGAGGCGUUUUCCGGCGAAUCCCCGGCGAGUUAGGAGUCGAGGUAGGUAUCAAUCUCUUCGUCUCGUCAAGUACUAUAACUUUCAUUUUUGUUUCACUCAAUUUCGUUGAGUAUUGAAGAAGUUAUACUCAUUUGAAAAAUACCCAGUUUCCGGCGACCUCCGAGGCUUUCGAGGCAGUUUCCGGCCAAACCACGGCUAACUAGGUGUUGUGCAAGGUACCAUUCUCUUUGUCUCUUCAAGGGCUACAACUUUCGUUUUUGAAUCACUUGAUUUCGUUGAGAAAUGACAAAGUUAUGGCAAUUUGAAAAACUGCUCAGAAAACGGCCGCCGGAAAAACCAGUCCGGCGACCCAAGGAAGAAGAAGGUGCUACAGUAAAAAUAAAAAAUAAAAAUAAAAUUAUUUUAAAAAUAUGUCGACGUCCGUGACGUCGAGUAGAUCACUGUGGUAUAUUCAUAUACCUAAAUUGAACACCGUAUGAGAAAGUUAUUGAAGAUUGUUGGUUAGGUGUUCAAAUAACGUUUUAUAGUUUUCACAUUUAGGUGAAAAUGUGAAUUGAUGAUCCGACCGUUGGAUCGUCACCAAACUUUGAUACGUUGUAAUACGUAAUAUUUGAGGAUUAUUGGAACUUACGGAUUGGGAAUCCGAAUUACGGAUCUUCCGGAAUUGGAAUUGUAAGUCCAUAAUAUAAAAUGUUAACCGUCACUUAGUUUUGGAAAUUGACGGAGAUCCGACCGUUGGAUGGUAAUGAAAUUUUAGGAUGUUGUCCUAGAGGUAUAAUGUGGACCUCUGGAAGUUAUGGAUUAAAAUCUGAGUGGUGGAUCUUCCGGAUCAAUCUACGUAGUGACGUAUUUUAUAUAAGUUAUAUAUUCUAUCGAUAUGAAUUCUGAGGUUGGAAUUGAUUAUUGUUUUAGGCGCCGAUCGUCAUGACGCCUUGGCGUAUUGUGCUAGGGAGUUGUAGGGCGAACUCCAGGUGAGUGGGCAGUUUUGUUUUCCGUAUAUAUAUAUAUAUACUUGACGUUUCCCAGAAAUUGAAAAUGCAUGAAAUUAUGCUUUAAAUGAAAAUGCAUAGAAUUGAUAUGAAAAGUAUAUAGAAAUGUGAGUUGAAAUGCCAUGCAUGAAUUAAUAUAUGAUGCAUAUGUAUGAAUUGGUGCGGUGGACGCACAGGUAAGAAUUGAUUUAUGAUGCAUAUGUAUGAAAUGGUGCGGUGGACGCACAGGUGAGUAUUUAAUUACUGUUAUGAUGAUGAUGAUAUAUAUUGAGCUCAAAUCCUGCACCAUGGUUUAGUGCUUAUAGUAUUCACCGCAUCGCACGCUCGCCUUGGAUCCAAGUAGAUGCUAGUCGUACAGUCCACGCGGAGUGGGUACGACAGACCAGUCGCGAGAGUGUUAGUGAGAUUCCGACUGGUGGGUGACCUUAGAUUAUGUGCACAGAUGAUUUAUGAGAAGCACUAGAGCGUAACUUGUGUGCAGAAGGCCGGACGGGUCACAGAGGUGACUCCGGUAGAGUGAUAAUGAUAGAUUUUGAGCUCUAGGUUCAACCGUACAGGGCUAUUAGAGGGCCUCCGGUUGAUUACUUUCUUGCACCUGAUAUGAUUAUUGUUGAUGCAUCCAUACUUAACUGUUGAAUUAGACAUGGCAUGGCAUGAUUGAUAAAGAAAAAAUGUUGAGUUAAUGAAUUAAAGUAUUGAGAAUAUAUAUGUAUAUUUAUAUUUUACAUUUCUGGGAAAAUAUACAGGUUUUACAGAGAGGGGUUACAACGUUUUGAAAAAUGUUUGGAUUUGGAAAAGAAUUGUUUUACUGACCCACUCAAUUUUGGUUUUGCGCCCCUCCAGGUUCAGGAAUCACAAAGGUGUGGUGACUACGAGGAAUACAGCGGGGUUCUGACAGAUUGGACAAAAUUAGGACUCACCUUCGGGUGUAUCAACUUAUAAAUUGUAUCUUAAAGCUUCCGUACUGUGCAAAUGGUUACGUCACUCUCACGUGACGGCCAGCAUGCCCUCCUUCGGGACGGGGUGUGUCAGUUGGUAUCAGAGCAUGGUUGCAAUCUUGGACAUUUUGAGAAGUUCUAGUGAAUUCUGUCAGAACUACACCGCCUCGUAGCAAGCCACUUAGUUAGAGGAAUUUAGUCUCCCUAAUAUAACGGUUUAGGGGAAACUAUUAUUAUGGUGAUUCAGUCUAUUAUAAAAAGGGACAUUUUAAGAUGGGUUAUGAGUUGAAUUUGAAUCACUUAAGAGAAAUGAUGAACCUGAGGGAGCGAAGUAACGGUUUAACCAUUUGGAAAAGAUGUUUCGGAUUAUGCAAGUCAAAGGAAUCUUCCUUCUGACAGGGGGUCGAGACGACUACCUGGUUUUGGGUAUGAAUUUGUAUCCUGGUGGAAACAGGAGUAUGAUUUGUUGUCAUCGGAGGAACAACCGAUUUAAAAUUGUUUAAGGAAAAGUUUAUCCCUCUGGCAUUUAUUGAUGGUAGUAAACAAGAGUUUACAAAUAUGAGACAAGGAAGGUGAUGAUCGAGGGAUAUUAUAGAAAGUUUUCAGACUUGCCUCGUUCCAUCCAGAUAUUGUUGUGAAUUUGGUGGAGGUGUUAUGUUGUUUUAGGCUGGGUGACAAAAGGAAGUGGUAUUUUUGGGUGACCCCUAUCCAUGGUAUUUCUUACCAGGAGUAUAUGAGAUGUUGUUGAGCCUUGAAGACUCUGAGAAUAUGAUCAGCGAGAGUAAAGAUGAAUAAGAAAAGAAUGGGAAUUAGAUGAAAGAACGAUAAAGUUAAUGAUUCGUCAUAUCAAGAAUAUCGAAAGACUCAGAGCUUCAAAAGAAGUGAAGCUAGAGUUAAUUUUUCCAGUUGAGGUUUUAAUGUCGCUGGUCAGAGUAAAAGUGAUGGAUAUACUGGUAAUCCCAGAUAUUUGAGACAAGGUGUCUCGAGUAAAGGAAAUGUACUUUGUGCAGCAGGUACAAAAAUUAACACUUUGGGAAGUGUGAAAUUAAUGAAUGUGUUUAUGUGAACAGAGGGGACACAGAAUUGUGAAUCGUCCCUAUAAUCAGUUGUACUCAAUAAUUUUCCAUGAUAUCAUAGUGUCGAUUCAGCAGAGUUAUGGAUUUAGUAGUUUGGUCGGAUUGACCGUGAGUACAGAGAGAUUUGAUGAGUUAUAUGUUCAGCCGUACAGACCAUAAGAAGUGGAUUCGAUUGACACAUGAGAAAUUAGUGAGUUAUAGGCUCGGCCGUACCGACCACGCGAAGUGGAUCCGGCCGACGUAUUAUUAAGAUAAGAGUUGAAUCAACCGUAUUGGUCAUUCUAGUUGACUUCGGCUGAUAUAUUUCUUAUUAUGUAUGUUAUUACCUAGAGAGUAGUAAAUAAAUGUAGUUGAGACGAGUGUAUGUAUUGCAUUGAGUAACAAAAUAGUAAUGUUAUAUCUUUGAGAGUGGUUGCCUACUUAUCGAGACAACGAUGAUUUAUCAGUAUUGCGGGCUGCAGACCGUAAUAUUAAUAACUCAUUCGUGGAUUCGUUAAGCAAGCAAACCGGUAGAUUAUUUUAUGUUAGUAUUGUACUUAUUUAGAAUGCUUAAUAAUAAUAGAAUAUAUAUUGUGUCGGUUAAAUUAUUUCCAUUAGAUUGGUUGGUUAUAAUUGUGACAAGACGGAAUGUUAAGGGAAACCAGUACUUUCCAUCGAUCUGGAUGACCAGAGAUUACUUUUGUAAGUAUGCAAAGUGGAUUGAGUCAGGCCGUUAUUUAUGCUGUGAGAGCAAAGAGAUUGUUUUCGAAAGGCUGUCAAAAAUAUUAGCUCGUGUGGUGCUAAAUGAUGUUGUUUGGAGUAGUGUGAAUAAUGUCAAAAAGGGGUUAGACUUUUCUUGAUGUCUUCCCUGAAAGUAUACCUGGAUUGCCUUCAGGCAGAGAUAUGAGGUUCACUAUUGAUUUGUUGCCAGGUAUAAAUCUAUGUUAAAGAUUGGUUCAGGAUGAGUUAAGGGAAUUGGAAAUUCAGUUGAAAGAAUUGGUUGAUAAAAGUUUCAUUCAACCUAGUACAACAUUUUUGAGGAGCCCCAGUUUGUUGGUGAGGAAGAAAAUGGACUUAGAGAUUGUUCAUUGAUUAUAGACAAUGGAGUCGGGUAACGAUUAAGAACCGUUAUCCAUGGUAAUGUACUGAUGUUUAUUUAACCAGCUCAGAAGUAAUUGCGAAGAUUCAAAGAUUGAAUUGAGAUCUGGUUACUACCAAUUGAAUAUUAUAAGUGACGUUGAUCAUAAGAUGGUUUUCUGGACUCGUUAUAGUCUUUAUGAAGUUUGGUGAUGCUAUAUGGAUACUCAUGCUGUUUUAUGAGUUAUUGGAUGAAGUAUUCCAAUAAUGCCUUGAUAAAUAGAUAUCAUUUUCAUUGAAGAUAUUCUGGCAUAUUCUGAGCCAGAGCAGAGCAUGUAAACGUAUUAAGUCGGUGGAACAAAGAUUGGAAAGAAUGUCGGUUGUAUGCUAAGUAGCAAAUGCUAAAGUUAGAUGAAUCAGGUGGCAUUCUGAGAUUUGUUAUAUAUUCUUAAGGUAUUCAAGUGAAUCCUUAAAAGAUAGCAGAAAUUGAGAAUUUGGAACAACCACGAGUCGUAAUUGAGAUUUGGAAUUUCUUAGCUUACCAGGCUAUCUUGGAUGGUUGUGAAAGAUUUUUCAGUCAUUGCUUUGUCAUUGACGAGACUGUUGAGAAAAGAGGUCAUGUAUGAGUGGGAAGGAAAUUGUGAGCAAAGGAUUCAACAACUGAAGUAUUUUCCUCACUCAUGCACGUAUUUUGGUAUUCCCAGAGAAUAGUGGUAAUCAUAUAAAUUUUUAGUGAUGUUUCUUGAAUGGUAUUGGAUGCAUGUUGAUGCAAAAUGUUAGGGUGAUUGCAUACGUUUCACGAUAAAUGGAAUCUCAUAAGAUGAAUUACCCUACGGGUGACUUAGAAAUCAUGAUUACCAUUCUUGCUGUGAAGUUAUGAAGGGCAUUAUAUUUGGUAAGAAUGCAAGAUUUUUACGAAUCCAAAAAGUCUUUCAAUAUCCAUUACUUGGAAGGAUUUUGAUAUGAGGCAGCGAAAGUGAAUUGUAUUGCUUAAUGAAUAAUGAUUGUACGAUCAGGGUGAUCGUAAAGUUUGUUCUAAACUGAAGCACUUGGUGAGAAAUACUACAGUAAGAUUAAUGUCUGGCACGUUUUGCCAAGAGUAUCAUCUUGUGGAUUGAAAACCAACGGAAGAAAAAUUAAGAAUGGAAGAUCGAGAAGAAGUUAUACUUGUUAAAUUUCAAGUUAGGCCUGUUUGGUAAGGUCGUACUUGAAACUUAAAUGCUUGACGAAGAAAUUUAAGAAUUAACCAAGGUAGAGAAAGAAGGUAAGUUAAAUCCUAAGUUAAUCGGACUUAAGUGAUUAUCGAAAAGUUGGUGAAGUUGCUUACAAGCUUGUGAUGCCCUCAGAAUUGGUUAAGGUGCAAAACAUAUUUUAUGAUUCGAUGCGUUGUCACUAGGUGGCAGAUUCGUCACAUGAGAUUCUGGUGUAACUAUUGAGAAUUAAAUUGGAUUCGACUUGAUAAGGAAUCAAGGACGACUUUGGAUUGGAAAAAGAAGGUCCUGAGAAUUAAGACAGAGUAAGUAGUAAAAGCUUUGUGAAGGAAAUCAUUCAGUAGAAAAGUAUGUGGGAGAAAGAGAAUCGGAUGAGAAAGAUUUACCCGAAGCUAUUGUUGGAGUAUGGUUGAUUUAGUUGGUUGCUGGAAUUUCGGGGACGAAAUUCUAUAAGGAGGGAAGAUUGUCACAGCCCGUCCCGGAAUUUUAAUUCCGAGGACAUAAAAAGACGAAAAUGCCCUUAAACGGGACUAAGGGGCGAAAAUUUAACAAUUUGGAUUGAGUUGGACACGUGAGAUCCCCACACCCCUCAAUCCUCUCCCUAUUUUCUGCAUACUGUCUCUCUCUCUCCUCCCUCACGAAUCUCUCUCUCUCUCUGUCACUCUUCUUCUCCGUUCGAACAAACCAACCACAAAACAACCUUAAACUUCCACCAACGACGGAGUUAAGACCACCAUCGAACUCCUGGAGACUCCACGAUCACGUAGACACCAAUUUCAGGUAAGUUUUACUUCGGAAAACCUAGAUUCUAAACUCCCCGUGAAAGUGCACUGUUCAUGAUCUUCGAAUUGACUUUGUUUUAGGACAAUCCAAGCUCAUAGUGAGCUUUAGGAUGUCCCAAGGAAGCUCGGAGUGCUUCGUUGGAAGUUUUUGGACGUAAGAACACGGAGAUCGACAAGUUCAAAGUUUGGCCGGAGCUUUCGAGGCGUUUUCCGGCGAAUCCCCGGCGAGUUAGGAGUCGAGGUAGGUAUCAAUCUCUUCGUCUCGUCAAGUACUAUAACUUUCAUUUUUGUUUCACUCAAUUUCGUUGAGUAUUGAAGAAGUUAUACUCAUUUGAAAAAUACCCAGUUUCCGGCGACCUCCGAGGCUUUCGAGGCAGUUUCCGGCCAAACCACGGCUAACUAGGUGUUGUGCAAGGUACCAUUCUCUUUGUCUCUUCAAGGGCUACAACUUUCGUUUUUGAAUCACUUGAUUUCGUUGAGAAAUGACAAAGUUAUGGCAAUUUGAAAAAACUGCUCAGAAAACGGCCGCCGGAAAAACCAGUCCGGCGACCCAAGGAAGAAGAAGGUGCUACAGUAAAAAAAAAAUAAAAAUAAAAUUAUUUUAAAAAUAUGUCGACGUCCGUGACGUCGAGUAGAUCACUGUGGUAUAUUCAUAUACCUAAAUUGAACACCGUAUGAGAAAGUUAUUGAAGAUUGUUGGUUAGGUGUUCAAAUAACGUUUUAUAGUUUUCACAUUUAGGUGAAAAUGUGAAUUGAUGAUCCGACCGUUGGAUCGUCACCAAACUUUGAUACGUUGUAAUACGUAAUAUUUUGAGGAUUAUUGGAACUUACGGAUUGGGAAUCCGAAUUACGGAUCUUCCGGAAUUGGAAUUGUAAGUCCAUAAUAUAAAAUGUUAACCGUCACUUAGUUUUGGAAAUUGACGGAGAUCCGACCGUUGGAUGGUAAUGAAAUUUUAGGAUGUUGUCCUAGAGGUAUAAUGUGGACCUCUGGAAGUUAUGGAUUAAAAUCUGAGUGGUGGAUCUUCCGGAUCAAUCUACGUAGUGACGUAUUUUAUAUAAGUUAUAUAUUCUAUCGAUAUGAAUUCUGAGGUUGGAAUUGAUUAUUGUUUUAGGCGCCGAUCGUCAUGACGCCUUGGCGUAUUGUGCUAGGGAGUUGUAGGGCGAACUCCAG